rnacentral:tRNA from 1 species
GGAUUGUGGUUCAGUGGUAGAGUGCUUGCCUAGCAUGCACGAGGCCCUGGGUUCGAACCUCAGCACCA